UCCUUGGACAACCAGCGCCAAGAACCACUAUUUUUUUUUUGCUCGGUUCAGAACCACUCUUUUGCCGCCAACACCAUCACCACCACCGUAACCAUCACGAACACCACCAACCACCGCAACCAGUACCGCUACCAUCGACUUCAUAACACUGUCAACUACACCUGAUAAGAUCAAAAUACUCCUUCACCACCAGCACCACUAACCACCGCCACCAACACCAACUCCAUCAAAUUCAUUAGACCACCACCACUAGACCAUCAACACCAUCAUAACCAGCUGCACCACCAAAUUCAUACACCCAACUUUUUCCAGGCAGGUGCUUAGGAGAGGUAUAGAUUCCUAUUCGGCUGUGCUGACUUACGCCAUGUUGUGUGAACUUAAACUUGCUGACGAUGUGAGUCCAUAUAUGCGUCCUUAAUCAGCAAUGUUAUUCCAUGGCUUAAGUUCAGGAUUUAAGUUUGACAACAAAGGCACAUCAUCCGAGACAUGAAACCAAGGCAGUCACAUCACGUGUGCAAUGGAGUUAUUCGCAGUUGUCUGCGUUGGGGUGUAUAUGAACUAAGUUCUCGAGAAAUUGAACAGUGAAGAACGGAAGGUUAUGUCGUUGGUCAGUAUGGUGAUUGUUUUCACAACAUUAAAGAGGUCUACAUAGUUGUUUUGCUGGGGAGUGACGAAAGAGUUUGAUGUUGUGGUCGAAUACAGAUUAAAGGGAUUAAAUGUCAUCAUAUUGACCCGCGACAGAGGAUCUCCGAAUACAGAUGCACCUUGCUGCAGAUAAGGCAAGACAGUUCAGAAACUGAAAAUGAAAGAAGUUCCUUGAGAAACAAAUGUGAAUUGUCGCUGACAGAAUAGGUGAUGCAACCAGAAUAAUAUGAUUUGCGGGUUUCGUCACGGGGCGGCACUCGCAUCACGUGUGCGUCUCUCCUAGUGGUGUAUUAUGUAACUUACUCUAAUGUUUUCUCUUGCAAUAAUGGUGUAUUAUAUAUAUGGUAACUUACUCUAAUGUUUUCUCUUGCAAUAAAUUGGAAAAUGAUUUCA